UUCGCCCUUAGAGUUUGAUUCUGGCUCAGGACGAACGCUGGCGGCGUGCCUAAGACAUGCAAGUCGAACGGUUUUACAUUUCAGCUUGCUGAGAAGUAAGAUAGUGGCGGACGGGUGAGUAACGCGUGAGCAACCUGGCUCAGAGAGGGGAAUAACUCAGGGAAACCUGAGCUAAUACCGCAUAAAAUACGAAGAGCGCAUGCUUUUUGUAUCAAAGGAGAAAUCCGCUUUGAGAUGGGCUCGCGUCCGAUUAGAUAGUUGGUGGGGUAACGGCCCACCAAGUCAACGAUCGGUAGCCGGACUGAGAGGUUGAUCGGCCACAUUGGGACUGAGAACGGCCCAGACUCCUACGGGAGGCAGCAGUUAGGGAUAUUAGGCAAUGGGGGGAACCCUGACCUAGCAACGCCGCGUGAAGGAAGAAGGUUUUCGGGUUGUAAACUUCUUUGACGAGGGAAGAUAAUGACGGUACCUCGAAAACAAGCCACGGCUAACUACGUGCCAGCAGCCGCGGUAAUACGUAGGUGGCAAGCGUUGUCCGGAUUUACUGGGUGUAAAGGGCGUGUAGGCGGAGCAACAAGUCAGAUGUGAAAUCCGGGGGCUCAACCCCCGAACUGCAUUUGAAACUGUAGUUCUUGAGUGAUGGAGAGGUAAGCGGAAUUCCCGGUGUAGCGGUAAAAUGCGUAGAUAUCGGGAGGAACACCAGUGGCGAAGGCGGCUUACUGGACAUUAACUGACGCUGAGGCGCGAAAGUGUGGGGAGCAAACAGGAUUAGAUACCCUGGUAGUCCACACCGUAAACGAUGGAUACUAGGUGUGGGGGGACUGACCCCUUCCGUGCCGGAGUUAACACAAUAAGUAUCCCACCUGGGGAGUACGGUCGCAAGAUUAAAACUCAAAGGAAUUGACGGGGACCCGCACAAGCAGUGGAGUAUGUGGUUUAAUUCGAUGCAACGCGAAGAACCUUACCAAGGCUUGGCAUCCUACUGACGAAGUAGAGAUACAUUAGGUGCCCUUUUAGGGAAAGUAGAGACAGGUGGUGCAUGGUUGUCGUCAGCUCGUGUCGUGAGAUGUUGGGUUAAGUCCCGCAACGAGCGCAACCCCUGUGGUUAGUUGCUACGCAAGAGCACUCUAGCCAGACUGCCGUUGACAAAACGGAGGAAGGUGGGGACGACGUCAAAUCAUCAUGCCCUUUAUGUCUUGGGCUACACACGUACUACAAUGGCGAUUAACAGAGGGCAGCGAACCCGCGAGGGGGAGCGAAUCCCCAAAAGUCGCCCCAGUUCAGAUUGCAGGCUGCAACUCGCCUGCAUGUAGCCGGAAUUGCUAGUAAUCGCAGAUCAGAAUGCUGCGGUGGAUAAAUUCCCGGGUCUUGUACUCACCGCCCGUCA
rnacentral:rRNA from 1 species